rnacentral:rRNA from 1 species
AGUGAACGCUGGCGGUAGGCCUAACACAUGCAAGUCGAACGCCAGCACAGUAAGAGCUUGCUCUUACGGGUUGCGAGUGGCGGACGUGUCAGGAAUACAUCGGACUCUACUUUUUCGUGUGGCGUAACGUAGGGAAACUUACGCUAAUACCUCAUACGACCUACGGGUGAAAGCAGGUGAUCUUCGUACCUUGCGCGAUUGAUUGAGCCGAUGUCGGUUUAGCUAGUUGGCGGGGUAAAGGCCCACCAAGGCUACGAUCCGUAGCUGGUCUGAAAGGAUGAUAGGCCACACUGGCACUGAGACACGGUCCAGACGCCUACGGGAGGCAGCAGUGGGGAAUAUUGGACAAUGGGCGCAAGCCUGAACCAGCCAUACCGCGUGGGUGAAGAAGGCAUUCAGGUUGUAAAGCCCUUUUGUUGGGAAAGAAAAGCAGAAGGUUAAUAACCCGCUGUUCUGACGGUACCCAAAGAAUAAGCACCGGCUAACUUCGUG